AACGAACGUUGGCGGCGUGGAUUAGGCAUGCAAGUCGAGCGAAUCCCAGCAAUGGGGGAAGCGGCGAAAGGGGCAGUAAGGCAUGGGUAACCUACCCUGGGGACUGGGAUAGCCCUUCGAGAGAAGGGGUAAUACCGGGCGACGUGCCGAGGAGGCAUCUCCUUGUCACCAAAUGAGUUUCGCCCUGGGAGGGGCCCAUGUGAUAUUAGCUAGUUGGUGGGGUAACGGCCCACCAAGGCGAAGAUGUCUAGCGGGUGUGAGAGCACGACCCGCGCCACUGGCACUGAGACACUGGCCAGACACCGACGGGUGGCUGCAGUCGAGGAUCUUCGGCAAUGGGCGCAAGCCUGACCGAGCGACGCCGCGUGUGCGAUGAAGGCCUUCGGGUUGUAAAGCACUGUCGAGAGGGAGAAAAGCGCAAGCUUGAUCUAUCUCUGGAGGAAGCACGGGCUAAGUUCGUGCCAGCAGCCGCCGUAAUAC
rnacentral:rRNA from 1 species